AGUCCCUGUGAGCUAUGAGUGAACCUGUACAUUGAUGAUUCCACCUGGGGGAGUGUUCAUUCUCUGAGAACACCCCCCUCUAGGUUGUACACCUCCUUUAAACAUUAGCCAGUGGAUAAGCCUAAUUACGGUUCUUUCCGCGAGUGGAACGCAGAGACUUCCGGCCAGCGCCUCUUCCGCGGAAUGGAACGCAUGGUGUUCCGGUCGGUGGAACGCAAAAGACGCGUCUCCGGCAGUUGCCCUUCCAAAUCGUUAAAAUACACUCAUUUAAGUAGCCGUGCGUUAGCGAUAGCCACUGCCUGUCCUGUGAACCCUGUAACUUUUUUCCCAGUUGGUCUGAGUUAGUUAUCUGAGAGGUGAUCAGUUAAUGAGAGACUGGGUUUAUACUAAUCUCCUUAAUUGGCACUUCCUGUGGUUGAUCCUUAAAUAGUGCUCAGCUGAGGCUGAACUUUAUGCAGCUUCCAUUUGGCUCUGGACACUUGAGCAGUGAGUAUGGUUCUCCUGCAGCUCCCUUCUGACACAUGAUUACGGUUGGUGAUUAUUUUUUCCUGUUGUGCCUCCUUACAGACUGAGUGUCUGACACAUGUACAGAGCCCACAAGCUGCCAUGAGCUAUUUCUACAUGUAACUAGGUGACUACGCCUUGCAGCUUCCCCUACGUUAUAGGCUUUUUAACUUCAUUAUGUGAUCAGGCAUGUUGCCAACUUUGAAGGCCAUUCCACACAUCUGAGUGAUCUGGCUUGCCGUCCAGGUGAUUUAAGUGCCAAUCUUGAUAAAGGUCCGCAUAAGGACCGAAACGUCGAUGAAAUACGGCAUCAACAGUGAACCCGAAUAAAAAUAUACUGAAUUUACAAGUGACUUCAGAGACUAAUUUCUGGGCGUGAGUGCACCUUCCACCUAGGUGGUUGUUGUGGUAUAUUGGUGGCCUCUCUGGUCAUUAGGAGCACCCGCCGUCGUUAUUACUUUUGAUGAGAGUGCAGGAUCUUCC